rnacentral:rRNA from 1 species
AGUGAACGCUGGCGGUAGGCCUAACACAUGCAAGUCGAACGGCAGCACAGUAAGAGCUUGCUCUUACGGGUGGCGAGUGGCGGACGGGUGAGGAAUACAUCGGAAUCUACUUUUUCGUGGGGGAUAACGUAGGGAAACUUACGCUAAUACCGCAUACGAUCUACGGGUGAAAGCAGGGGAUCUUCGGACCUUGCGCGAUUGAAUGAGCCGAUGUCGGAUUAGCUAGUUGGCGGGGUAAAGGCCCACCAAGGCGACGAUCCGUAGCUGGUCUGAGAGGAUGAUCAGCCACACUGGAACUGAGACACGGUCCAGACUCCUACGGGAGGCAGCAGUGGGGAAUAUUGGACAAUGGGCGCAAGCCUGAUCCAGCCAUACCGCGUGGGUGAAGAAGGCCUUCGGGUUGUAAAGCCCUUUUGUUGGGAAAGAAAAGCAGCAGGUUAACACCCCGCUGUUCUGACGGUACCCAAAGAAUAAGCACCGGCUAACUUCGUG